UGUAAGGUUGAAAUGGCAAACACAACUACAAGGAUAAUAACAUUUUAGAGUGGAUAGAAGCUAGAUAUUGUGAAUAUUUAUUGUCAUUGACCAAUUCCUUCCUCAAUUGAUAUUUGGAGAAAUUACAGAAAUAAGGAGACUGGCAGUAAAGUGUUUUCUGUAGAAAACAACUGCAUCAACUGGGUUCAAAAUGAAGGCACAGAAAGUGACAGCUACUUUCACCAUGGUGUUCUUAUGUUGGAUUAUCCAUGAAGUUUCUUCCACAACUGCAUCUCCAACAACUGCAGAUCUUAUUACGACAACAACAAUUGCAGCUCCAACGACAAUUGCAGCUCCAACGACAACUGCAGCUCCAAUGACAACUACAACUGCAGUACCUAAUACAACAACCACAACUGCAGUUCCUAAUACAACUGUAGCUCCUAUGACCACUACAACAGGAGAAUAUUCAACAACAACUGUAGCUCCUACAGCAACAGAUAAACCUCCUACUACUACUACUACAACUGCAGACCCUACUACAACUGUAGCUCCUACGGACACUACAAAAGUAACACCUACAAUGACCACUGUAACUCCCACGCUACCUGCAGCUCAUACGACAACUGAAGCUCUGACGACAACACCUGCUGCUCCUACGACAACUACAACUCCAAAACCUACUACGACAGAAGCAACUUCCACGACUGCUACGACUGCAGAACCUACCACUACAAACAGUGCAGCUCAUACUACAACAACUGUUGUUCUUAUGACAACAAUGACUGCAGCUCCUACGACAACCAUAACAACAGCACCUACUACAACUCCUGCAGUUCCUACAACUGUAGCUACCACGACCACUCCACCUGCUGUACUUACUACA